GCGUCGUCUGGACGAACAGCAUGCCGCCGCGGUUGCCGGUCGCGGUCGGCCGGAACGUCACCGACACGGUGCA
rnacentral:tRNA from 1 species